rnacentral:rRNA from 2 species
AUUGGGCGUAAGCGCGCGCAGGCGGUUUCUUAAGUCUGAUGUGAAAGCCCACGGCUCAACCGUGGAGGGUCAUUGGAAACUGGGGAACUUGAGUGCAGAAGAGAAAAGCGGAAUUCCACGUGUAGCGGUGAAAUGCGUAGAGAUGUGGAGGAACACCAGUGGCGAAGGCGGCUUUUUGGUCUGUAACUGACGCUGAGGCGCGAAAGCGUGGGGAGCAAACAGGAUUAGAUACCCUGGUAGUCCACGCCGUAAACGAUGAGUGCUAAGUGUUAGAGGGUUUCCGCCCUUUAGUGCUGCAGCUAACGCAUUAAGCACUCCGCCUGGGGAGUACGGUCGCAAGACUGAAACUCAAAGGAAUUGACGGGGGCCCGCACAAGCGGUGGAGCAUGUGGUUUAAUUCUAAGCAACGCGAAGAACCUUACCAGGUCUUGACAUCCUCUGACAACUCUAGAGAUAGAGCGUUCCCCUUCGGGGGACAGAGUGACAGGUGGUGCAUGGUUGUCGUCAGCUCGUGUCGUGAGAUGUUGGGUUAAGUCCCGCAACGAGCGCAACCCUUGAUCU